rnacentral:rRNA from 1 species
AGAAUCAACGCUGGCGGCGUGCCUAACACAUGCAAGUCGAACGCGAAAGUCCCGAAAGGGAUCAGUAGAGUGGCAAACGGGUGAGUAACACGUGGGUGACCUGCCUUCGAGCGGGGGAUAACGGUCCCGAAAGGGACGCUAAUACCGCAUGACAUCCUGUUUUUAACAGAUGGAGAUCAGAGCCGGGAUCGCAAGACCUGGCGCUUGGAGACGGGGCCCGCGUCCGAUUAGCUAGUUGGUGAGGUAAUGGCUCACCAAGGCGACGAUCGGUA